ACACUGUUUCCUCCUCCUGUUCGCCCCUUCUACGAUUUCCUCCGACCCAGCGCCGCGACGGCACUUCGCAACCGAGCUCACGGCGUUGCGGAGCUCAGCGAAGCCUCGUCGAAGCCUCCAGUCCUCUACUCUGGUUCUCUACCCUUUCCUCUCUUCAGUUAGCUGCCUCGUGCGAGGACCGUCGGGCACGAGGAGCCGAGCUGAAGAUCGGAGACACUGAGGUCGAAUCGCCGGAACCCUGAGCUCGAUCUUAGCUGAGGGUGCGUUCCCAACAGUGGUCACGACGUUCCCUAGCCCUAACGCCAAGCUGAUUUCGUCGGGUUUCGCCUCGCCGCUAGUGGGGGAAGCUGUCACUGAGGUAUUGGAGGUUUGUUGUGGCAGCGGCUUGCUGUGAGGGCUCGAUCACAAUUCCAACAGCUGUUCUUCACUCCAAAAACAGUAGUGGCUUGUUGGGAAGGGCUCGAUCACAAUUCCAGCAGCUGGUUUUCCUCCGGGAAUCCUUGGAGUUCAGAUCUGUGGAUCUACAAUGUUGGGCAGCAUCCGUGUACCAGUGCCGGCGAUUUCACCUUCCGACAGCAAGUUAUCAGUGGGGAGAUUUCUGUAAGGACUCUGAUCGAGGUGGGUGUCGUGACGAGGUUGACGUCGGAUUCAGCCUUCAUCUGAGG